UACGAAGGGGGCUAGCGUUGCUCGGAAUCACUGGGCGUAAAGGGCGCGUAGGCGGCGUUUUUAAGUCGGGGGUGAAAGCCUGUGGCUCAACCACAGAAUGGCCUCGAUACUGGGACGGCUUGAGUAUGGUAGAGGUUGGUGGAACUGCGAGUGUAGAGGUGAAAUUCGUAGAUAUUCGCAAGAACACCAGUGGCGAAGGCGGCUCUCUGGCCCGGACCUGACGCUGAGGCGCGAAAGCGUGGGGAGCGAACGAGG
rnacentral:rRNA from 1 species